AACGAACGCUGGCGGCAGGCCUAACACAUGCAAGUCGAGCGGGCCCUUCGGGGUUAGCGGCGGACGGGUGAGUAACGCGUGGGAACGUGCCCUUUGCUUCGGAAUAGCCCUGGGAAACUGGGAGUAAUACCGGAUACGCCCUUUUGGGGAAAGAUUUAUCGGCGAAGGAUCGGCCCGCGUUGGAUUAGGUAGUUGGUGGGGUAAUGGCCUACCAAGCCGACGAUCCAUAGCUGGUUUGAGAGGAUGAUCAGCCACACUGGGACUGAGACACGGCCCAGACUCCUACGGGAGGCAGCAGUGGGGAAUCUUAGACAAUGGGGGAAACCCUGAUCUAGCCAUGCCGCGUGAGCGAUGAAGGCCUUAGGGUUGUAAAGCUCUUUCACCGGGGAAGAUAAUGACGGUACCCGGAGAAGAAGCCCCGGCUAACUCCGUG
rnacentral:rRNA from 1 species